AAAGGGCUCCCUGGCACUGUUUUACAGAAAGCUUCUCCUGUCUCUGACUGUCAUCUCUUCCAUUGGAAGUAACACCUGUAUCUUGGACCCCUCAAACAGGCCAGAAUUUGCUGCUUACAUGGGCUUCACAAAGUUAUGCUGGAUACUUAAGCCCUCUGGACAAUGUUCAGAAAGGAAUAACAUGUGAGAGGAAGGAAAGAAUUUGAGGGAUGAAUAACUUUAAGGAAAAAUUUGGAUGCCUUACAUUUUCAUUGUGCAGGUCCCCUGAGCAUACCAGUUAGGGCAGUGGCCACCCACUGACCUGGAGUGGGAGGGAGCCCGCCCUGAGCCCUGGUGGGUGGAGCCCUGCCCCACACAACCAUCCUGCCAAAAGUCAGGAGGCGGGAUAGGAAGUAUAAAUAGCAGGCCCAGGAUCUCAUUUAGACCCCAGCUGCUGGAGGAGCCAGAUACCUACCUUGAGCUCCCGAGCUGCAAGCUGCUUCGGUCCUAAAGGAAGUCGAAGAGAGGCCAGGACCUCAGACAGACCCCGACCCAGAGGAGCUGCUGGACGAUUCCCUAAUGACCCAGAAAGCCUGCUAGUGAGUGAGGUCUGCCCCAAGGAGGAGUUAGUAAGUGGCCCAGGGAUAGCCCACCCUGAUCUGGCUGAAACAGUGCCUGUAAAUGAGUCAGCGUGUUGUGGUCAGGAUCCCACUGACCCAAUGGCAGACUGAUCUGCUGCUGUUAGGGCCCUGGGCUAGGAUACAGUGGAACAGGUCAGCCUGUGUCCCACCCCCUGGCCACUCCAACCUGUGGGUGGCGGUCUCUCCCCCACCUGUGUAGGCAAAAUGCGGAGAGCUGACAAGCACAUGGAAGAGCUAGGAGAUCUGACUGUUUGCUACCCUGCUUUGAACUAGGGCCUGAGUAUACUGACAGUCGGCCCUGAAUUAUUGUUGCCCACCCUACAUGAGGACCUGGCUUACUGACUGACUGCUUGGCCUGAGCUCCUUAACUGUUGUUGCAACUGAUUCCCUGUAUGUGUACUGAGGUAGAGUGGCCGACCACUGACUUGGAGGGGGAGGAACCCCCUCGAGCCCUCGUGGGUGGAGGCUGACCCUCCAACCAGACUACAAUACAAGAUCAGUCUUAAUCUGACACCCAGAAAUGUAAUCAUGGUACCUACACUACUUGUGUGCUUCCCUGUUUCAGUUUUCUCUCUUCUUUAUUUAAGAGUAGCUUUCCUGGUGGCCGUAAUUUCAGCCAGAAACUAGCCAUGACAGAUUCAUUUGAGUGCUUUGUUAUAGAAAGAGGAAAAUAAAACUUAGUCUUAGAGAUUCUAAUUUCCCUUAGUAGUUCACAGGCAGAAUGGAAUUUGGUUCUCUGCUUUCAGUCUUACAGCUGAUAUCCCUGCCUUUUGUGUGAGGAGAUCUGAGAAUUAAGGUGGUCUAAAUUAAUGUCCAACCAAUGUGCAAGCAGUAUUGUCAAUCAUAUGGUGGUUUCAUGGAUCACUAUUUGCUUUCACCCUGUGCUUGGAAAAUAACAUAAUAAACAAAACUACUCCUCCCUGUUACUGAAAGUUAAAAUCCAAGCCUCCGAUUAAACCACAUCUUGAAGGAAAUGUUGACCUUUUGGUUACAAGUUCUAAUUACAAACCCUUGUGCACAAAAGAGUAUUUUUUCUGCCUGGCUCCUGAAACUUUUUCAGUAGAGCAGAUAAUUGUUUACUCUUCCAGACAUAAAUGUCUUUGUGUUCUUAGUUCUCAUAAUAGGGGAAAGAACUUCUAAAGUUAAUGAAAGAAAGUUAAUCAUGUUGCGCUUGCCAAGGGAAUCUCAGGUUUUCAUCUGAAUUAGUUUUUUUUUAAAAGAAACCUGCUAAAAACUAUGCAGGUUGAUCCAAGGCUCUACUUGGGUGUAAGUGCAGUAUAUGACCUCUUCAAAUGUCCUGCUUAUUCGGAGGAGUCCCAAGGUAUGUGCUCAGGUAAGUGGAGUAGCAUAGGUACAAUUCUUGUCAAAUUAUACUGGCCAGCUGGAUCAAACUUUGAAUUUCUGUUACCUGAAAGGCAGAGAUGGCAACUCACUAUAUGAACACCUCCUGCCAUACAGACCCCCCUUGCAGAAACUGGUAGGGUGGCAAGUUUGGCAGAUUUAACAGUUUUUAUUAGAGUAGUAUUAGCUGAUGGAUUAUCAUCUUUACAAUGUAGUUCUUCUUUGAGGAGUGUCCCUGUGGAUGCUCCACCUUUGGAGCUCAGAGCCAGAGAUUUGUGACAAGCAUACCCCUGGCUGGCCACGCGUGCAAGAAACCAAUAUGUGCUCUGAGGAGGCUAAUGCGCAUGCGCAGCCGCCCCCCCCCCCAGUCCCUUCUAAACCGCCGCCAGCUAUGGUUGCAGAUCAGCAGUCUCCCCUUCACCUCACUCAGGACUUACUUCUUUGUAAAUAGUUUACUUCAGACAAGAUCAGUUACAGUUUAUAUUCUUUAAAGGUUUAGUUAGUGAAGAAAAUAAAAAGAGAGAGAGAGAAGCGGCAAUCGCUUCACGAUGCUAGCAGCACAUAUCAACCGCACUCUACUACCAUCCGGGAUAUGCUGGGUUCACCUGGAUUCAAGAGGUGUGCAACCUGCAACUUUCUAUUUCACUCUGACAGCCACGAACAGUGUCUCCGCUGGCUUGGGCAGCAGCACGUAUCAGAAAAUUGCCCAUAUUGCCAGAAAUUAACCAACCACUCUAGGAGAGUGAGGGAGUUUCAAUUAAAAAUGCUCCAAAUACAGAACAGCUCUAGACUGCCUACUGACCCUGAUCAAUCCACCCCUCCCAGACAAAGAUCACCCGGGAUGAGGUCAGAAAGAGCAGCUCCCUCCGAGUCGAGCCCUAAGGAAAGGGAGAAAAGUAGCCUUAACGAAAGGUCCUACUCUUCCUCAGGGACUGACUUUCCAUUAAGGAAGUGAUUAGUCCAUACUAAUGCUGAAUGCCAAACACAAAAGGGGUCAGACAAGCAGCAAUCUAAAGGGACCAGAAAGGAGAAGAGCCGAGAUCCCAAACUCACAUAUCGAGUGCCAGACAAAGCGCUGACAGAGGCAAAAAGCAAAGCCUCCUUGUCAGCAGGGAAACUCACGUCAACAGCUGUUGCUUGAAACAAACCACACUCACACAUGGCACCGAGCCAGAGCGCAUUACCUGACACGGGUACCACUGGCACCGCAGAAACACAUGGCACCAAUAGGUCAUUCGUUGCAGCCUCUGUUCCAAUUAAUGUCGCCACAAAUGCCUCCCACCCUCCGUUACCACCAACUGAUGCCUCAGUUCACAAUGGCAGCUGAAUUGACGGUUCACUCGGUACCGGGGACGCCCCUGUUUGUUACCGAUGGUAUCCC